UGCAGUCGAGCGGAAACGAAGAGGUGCUUGCACCUCUGGCGUCGAGCGGCGGACGGGUGAGUAAUGCUUGGGAAUAUGCCUUAUGGUGGGGGACAACAGUUGGAAACGACUGCUAAUACCGCAUAAUGUCUACGGACCAAAGUGGGGGACCUUCGGGCCUCACGCCAUAAGAUUAGCCCAAGUGGGAUUAGCUAGUUGGUGAGGUAAUGGCUCACCAAGGCGACGAUCCCUAGCUGGUUUGAGAGGAUGAUCAGCCACACUGGGACUGAGACACGGCCCAGACUCCUACGGGAGGCAGCAGUGGGGAAUAUUGCACAAUGGGCGCAAGCCUGAUGCAGCCAUGCCGCGUGUGUGAAGAAGGCCUUCGGGUUGUAAAGCACUUUCAGUAAGGAGGAAAGGUUAAGUGUUAAUAGCACUUAGCUGUGACGUUACUUACAGAAGAAGCACCGGCUAACUCCGUGCCAGCAGCCGCGGUAAUACGGAGGGUGCGAGCGUUAAUCGGAAUUACUGGGCGUAAAGCGUACGCAGGCGGUUUGUUAAGCGAGAUGUGAAAGCCCCGGGCUCAACCUGGGAACUGCAUUUCGAACUGGCAAACUAGAGUGUGAUAGAGGGUGGUAGAAUUUCAGGUGUAGCGGUGAAAUGCGUAGAGAUCUGAAGGAAUACCGAUGGCGA
rnacentral:rRNA from 1 species